CAUCACCUCACCUCAUCUCAUUGCGUAGGCGUUUUAUCAUCUUACAUCAUUACAAGAAGGAAAACAGCAAGGAACAGGGGAUGAGGGAAGAUGGCGGCAUAGGAGGACGCUGGGCUCACCGCGCGUCCUGCUGAUCGCUUAGAUUCCACCUACACCUGCCUAAAUAACCCAGAAAACCGCCAGAGGAUUAGCAGAACGGAGUCUCCGGAGCCAAGCGCAGACGAGAGGCCCACGGAAGAGGCAGGAAGACUAAUGAGCCUCGACUGCUGUCUGUUAGAAAAUGUAAAUGAAAGAGUGACAUCAUUUACUGCAACAAUGGGAUUAAUAAGCAUAAAUUCCACAGAUAUUUGUCCAGAAGUCGUCAAUCUGAAUUAUGAAGUCAUCUUUGUUCUGCAAAAAGGACAACUCUGAUCAAGACUUGAUCACUGUUCCAGUAAGCUUCCCAAGAAGACUUUAACAAACAAGAAAUGAUGACCUCAGUUCCUACUCCUCUUCACAAAUAUUUGUAAAAUCGAUCUUCUGUAUGUCAUCCCAUUGGACAAACAAGUAUCACUUGGGUAGCUUCUGGAUGAAGAAGAAAGAUAGAUGUCUGAGUAGACUUGGAUCUACCUGGCUUGGAGCCAAAGCCAGCUGAAUCCAACCUGGAUGAGUUUCACAUCUGCCAAUUUACAGAAAU